AUUAUAGAGACGACAUUGCAUUCCUUGACAACAUUUUCCACAGCACAAUUAGAUCCUUCAACCCCUUCUGAGAGUCCUGUUGGUCUACUGAAAGGCAACAGUGCUGCACUUGUGUCAAUGAUAACUAAUCUGACAGUAGUGGUGAUGGCCACAAUAACAUGUGUGAUUCUUUAUUUCAAAACCCGAAGCAACAAAAUCAACAGCCAGAUUGAACUGAACUGCAAGUCAUUUGUCUGUUAUUCAGAAAUGUCAGGAGG